CGGGGCGCAGCAGGCGCGAAAACUGCGCAAUGCGCGUAAAGCUGUGACGCGGGGACUUCGAGUGCCGUCGUCACCAUGUGAUGGACGCGCUGUUCCCCUGCCUAAGAAGCAGGGGGAGUAAGGGCUGGGUAAGACCGGUGGCAGCCGCCGCGGUAAUACCGGCAGCCCAAGUGGUGGCCACUAUUAUUGGGUCUAAUACGUCCGUAGCCGGCCUGGUUAAUCCUUCGGUAAAUCUGAUACGGCUUAACCGUUCGGCCUCGUGGGAGACUGCCAGGCUUGGGACCGGGAGAGGCUGGGGGUACUCCAGGGGUAGGGGUGAAAUCCUGUAAUCCUUGGGGGACCACCAGUGGCGAAGGCGCCCGGCUUGAACGGGUCCGACGGUAAGGGACGAAAGCCAGGGGAGCAAACCGGAUUAGAUACCCGGGUAGUCCUGGCCGUAAACGCUGCGGGCUUGGUGUUGGGGAUCCUACGUGGGUGCCCAGUGCCGGAGCGAAGGUGUUAAGCCCGCUACCUGGGGAGUACGGCCGUCAGGCUGAAACUUAAACGGAAUUGGCGGGGGAGCACAGCAACGGGAGGAGCGUGCGGUUUAAUUGGAUUCGACGCCGGAAUACUCACCGGGGGCGACCGCCGUAUGAGGAUCAGCCUGACGAGUUUAUCUCGAUAGGUGGACGAGGUGGUGCAUGGCCGCCGUCAGUUCUGUACCGUAAGGCGUUCUCUUAAGUGAGAUAACGAACGAGACCCUUGCCCUUAGUUGCCACCCAUCCUUCCGGGGAUGGAGCACACUAGGGGGACCGCCGCUGCUAAAGCGGAGGAAGGAGAGAGCAACGGUAGGUCAGUAUGCCCCGAAUCCCCCGGGCUACACGCGCGCUACAAAGGGCAGGACAAUGGGAUCCAACCCCGAAAGGGGAAGGUAAUCUCGAAACCUGUCCGUAGUUCGGAUUGAGGGCUGUAACUCGCCCUCAUGAAGCUGGAUUCCGUAGUAAUCGUCGCUUCAACAUAGUCGCGGUGAAUACGUCCCCUGUCUCCUGCACACACCGUCCCGUCAAGCCAUCCGAGUCGGGUCUUGAGUCGAGGGUCCUCUUUUAUUGGGUGGUUCGAACUUA
rnacentral:rRNA from 1 species